rnacentral:rRNA from 1 species
GAUGAACGCUGGCGGCGUGCCUAAUACAUGCAAGUCGAGCGAACAGACGAGGAGCUUGCUCCUCUGACGUUAGCGGCGGACGGGUGAGUAACACGUGGAUAACCUACCUAUAAGACUGGGAUAACUUCGGGAAACCGGAGCUAAUACCGGAUAAUAUAUUGAACCGCAUGGUUCAAUAGUGAAAGACGGUUUUGCUGUCACAUAUAGAUGGAUCCGCGCCGCAUUAGCUAGUUGGUAAGGUAACGGCUUACCAAGGCAACGAUGCGUAGCCGACCUGAGAGGGUGAUCGGCCACACUGGAACUGAGACACGGUCCAGACUCCUACGGGAGGCAGCAGUAGGGAAUCUUCCGCAAAGGGCGAAAGCCUGACGGAGCAACGCCGCGUGAGUGAUGAAGGUCUUCGGAUCGUAAAACUCUGUUAUUAGGGAAGAACAAAUGUGUAAGUAACUAUGCACGUCUUGACGGUACCCAAUCAGAAAGCCACGGCUAACUACGUG